CUUUUUUCCAAAUCUGCUUUUCAUUCAGAAUAUUGCCUUUGCUAGCCAAGCUUUUGCGCAAUUGCAAGGUGCUGUGUUGCGGAGCAGUGAUCGGGGUGGUCUUCGUGUCGAGUUUGCUAAGGCUAAUAUGGGAGAACCGAAGAGAUUGGAGGUAGCCAUACGCCAGUCACCAGGACAACCGCAAGUUCUAUUCCAGUAAUUCAUUGUGUUGCUAUGGCAAUUGUAAAUAGCCCUAGCUUGUUGAAAGUACUUGAAAUCUAUGCCAUUGUUAAUUGCCACUGAUGGUUCACCAACAAGUUGUGUUAUCUACACCUUUUCUCAUGCCUGACUAUCCAUCCUGGAGAUGGCCGGCACAUUUUUAUAUCUUGUUACUGUGUUAAUACGAGCCACCUUUUGGCAAGCUGAUCGCCGUCCAAUAUAGAACAGAGUUUAAAUUUAAGACAAUUUUUGACAACUUGUGAAGUUUGUAUGUGAGACUGCUUAAUAAGAUGACAUUGUCUGGUACAGAGUACUGGAUUGUCUUUUAGCCAGUUAUAGCCUAACUGGUGUACCAAUUGUAAAAGCAAUUGUGAUUGGUCUACCAUUUAUAACAUUGGUUUACUUAUUGUCACCGCAAUUGUAAUUUGUUUAGAGAUUUUAGCGCAGCAAUUGUAACUGAUUUACAAAUUCCAACUGGUUGUUACCAAUAGCAACUAGUUGAAACUUGCUUUAACCAGUUGCAACUUGUUGUAACUGGUUUUGACAACUGCAACUAGUUGUAAUUGGUUUAACUAUUGCAACUAGCUAUAUCUUGUUAAUCAUUUGCAACUAGUUAUAACUGUUUUUUCCCAGUUGCAACUAGUGUAACUGGUGUGGUUAAUCAGUUGGCUCUAGAUUCAACUUGUUUGGUACAAUGCAAUUAUUAAAAUUUAUGCUUGGUAAUCCAGUGGCCAAGUGCUAAUUAAUGUUGAAAUGCAUUAAAAAUUAAAUCAUAUUUCGAAUUGAAUUCAAAGCGAUAGUUUUGUUUUUAGGGUAAGAGUACAUUUUUGCCCCAAGAGGUAGAUAGGUUUGUGUGCUAUUAAAAUAUCUCUGUAUAUUUAGUAGAAAAUUCAAAGAAAAAUGUUUGUACCUGCAAUUAUUUCUCGGCAGUGUUGAUUUUUUUAAUUCUUGCUCAAGAGACUAGCAUAAUGGGUUAGAUGUGCCAGUGCAAUUUAAUUUUAUAUUGCCUUUUUUUUUUUACUGUAGCGGCUGUUGCAUAUAUACUUUCAACAGGCUUUCACUUGCCAGAGCUAUCAAAAAAAAUAUUUCAAAGAAAAGCAAAAUACAUUAACUUAAAAAUCUGAUAGUUUAAAUUAUUUGUGGUGCUGUUUGUUAUUGCUAGUACCGAUUAUCAAAUUUGAUUCACUGACAAUUUUAAAGGUUAUUAUGCAAAUUGCUAUUAAUUUGCUAUAUCAAAUUAUAAUUUAAUAUUACUUUAACGAAAUUUAUAGUUUAAAAAUGGUUGAUGUUUAUUUUCUAAAGAAGCCAGUUUUAUUCCAACGAAUAAAUUUCUUUAUUUCAAAUUUGAUUAUUAUAUUAUGUAAGAGUAUCAGGUAGUUGUAGGAUAACGUGUAUGUUGUUGAGAUAAAGGGGUUAUGGGUAUAUUCUGGUGAUGGCCAAUGUGAUAUAGCUUUAUAACAGGGCUGGUGUUCCUAAACAGAGUUUGCAGUACAAUAAUCGUAGAUUCCAAAUUAUUAUACCAAAUACGAAGAAUUUCUGCAACAAAUUUGAUACAGGAGAAAAGAAUACUGUACUCCAGUUCGACAUCACCUUUUAUCUUCAAGGAUAUAAUAUCUUCUUUAUUUUACCGCUUGCUUUUUUUUGCAGUUUGAUAUUAUUUUGGCGCAUAUCAACUGCUAGCAAAGCAAGGCAACUUGGAUUCAAUUUUGCUAGGAAUUCACUUUUACCGGGAAAGAUUUGUCAUUUAAAUGUUACUUAAUGUACCUCAUUUGUUACCAGGGUAAAAAAGUUUAUUGUGUUUAUAGGUUUAACGAAAAAUACUAUAUUUCUAUUCAUGUAAAUGAAUUAUAAAUGAGGUUGAUGUUCAGCCGUUAAUUCAAGGCAAAGUUAUUCAAAGCAAAUUUAAAAUCAAUUAACAGGAGGAAAAUAUUUAAUUUUUUAAAUAAAAAUGUACUAUGUAUAUACACUAUAGUAAUUUUGGUGUAGUGGUGUUAAGUGAAGUUUAUUUAUUGUAAUUUGCUAGAAUAUUCUUUUUUAAAUUUUAAUAUGUUGUCUUUUAUUUUCUCUUGUUUUCUUACACACCAAAUGUUUGUGUUUAAUUAAACGAGUGAAAUGAGAACAUAAUAUAUUGUAGAAAUGACAAUUUGUGUUCUAUUUUGAAGGUGGAUUUACAUGUCUAGUUAUUUGUACUAUGUCCAAGAGACCAAAAAUGUUAAAAGCUUGGAAUUGAGUGGUUUUGUGCUAUUUUUGAUUCAAGUUUAAAGUAUGCAAUGUAGAAAAAAAACAAAAAAAACAUGGGCUCUAACAAUUUGGUAGAGGAGUGUUGUGUGCUAAUUAAGUUGGUGUCGUUCCCAUGAAAACCAUACCUGGGAGCAAGUUCUGAUUUAAUUCAACUUGCUGAGACAAUGGCGCCCUCUAUACUUUAUAGCACUUCAGAGUGUGCCUAUGUGUAAAAUGGUAGCUUAAUAGUAAUUUAGAGGUUACAUACAAAUACGUUCCUUGGUUUAUUUUCAUUAGGCUGAAUUAAACUUCGAAAAUAUAGGUUAUAAGGGAAAACAUUUUUUCUUCAAAAUGGACUGUAACUAAUACAAGGUUUAUUGACAGAUGGGAGUUGUGUUUUCACUGCAUUUCCAUUGCUAGUCCAUAAUUGUGUGUCAAUUUUACAGUUCUCUAUUUUAAUAAAGUUGGACUAAGUGAAA
rnacentral:lncRNA from 1 species